rnacentral:rRNA from 1 species
UACGAAGGGGGCUAGCGUUGCUCGGAAUCACUGGGCGUAAAGCGCUCGUAGGCGGAUCUUUAAGUCAGGGGUGAAAUCCCAAGGCUCAACCUUGGAACUGCCUUUGAUACUGGGGAUCUCGAGUCCGGAAGAGGUUGGUGGAACUCCGAGUGUAGAGGUGAAAUUCGUAGAUAUUCGGAAGAACACCAGUGGCGAAGGCGGCCAACUGGUCCGGCACUGACGCUGAGGUGCGAAAGCGUGGGGAGCAAACAGG